rnacentral:miRNA from 1 species
CAAGGUGGCCUAGCAGAGUGUU